AGAUUAUAUAGGAAACUUGGUCACAGAAACUGUGGGAAGUGAAUGUUUUUAUUGUCGGGAAUAAUUCAAGACCAAUGAAUCUUGAUAGAUGAACCAUUGAAUAUUCAAUGAUGGUUAUUCCAAGGUCUUGGAAUUACUCAUUGCGUCUUCCUCCCCUUCACUAUAUAUAGGGGACUGGUAAGGAAGAUACAUAACAAGCAAGUGAGAAAAACUAUAUUGAGAAAAGUGAGAUAGUUUACAUCCACAUAGUGUGAG
rnacentral:lncRNA from 1 species